rnacentral:lncRNA from 1 species
AACAACCUUGAUUACUAAUCAAGUAUCAUAGAUUAAAAUUAUGUGGUAUGUGUGUGUAUGUGCAUAUAUAUGGUAGGUACUGAAUAAAUAUUCAUGAAAUGAAUAAAAAGGCAGCAAAAUUUUACUUACUCUUUAUGCUUCUGACACAAAAUUAUUGUGGCUGAAGGAUUUGAUCAGACAGUAUGAAAUGACUUGUCCCUGAGAGUUCUGAUCUUGGAACCUCUGGUCAGCUGGGGAUUGAAAACCUAGAGUGACCUGACUGAAGCAGAGGCAAGGGAAAUCUGAGCCUCUCUCCAGUGCCCACU